rnacentral:rRNA from 1 species
GACGAACGCUGGCGGCGUGCCUAAUACAUGCAAGUAGAACGCUGAAGGAGGAGCUUGCUCUUCUGGAUGAGUUGCGAACGGGUGAGUAACGCGUAGGUAACCUGCCUGGUAGCGGGGGAUAACUAUUGGAAACGAUAGCUAAUACCGCAUAAGAGUAGAUGUUGCAUGACAUUUGCUUAAAAGGUGCAAUUGCAUCACUACCAGAUGGACCUGCGUUGUAUUAGCUAGUUGUUGGGGUAACGGCUCACCAAGGCGACGAUACAUAGCCGACCUGUGAGGGUGAUCGGCCACACUGGGACUGAGACACGGCCCAGACUCCUACGGGAGGCAGCAGUAGGGAAUCUUCGGCAAUGGACGGAAGUCUGACCGAGCAACGCCGCGUGAGUGAAGAAGGUUUUCGGAUCGUAAAGCUCUGUUGUAAGAGAAGAACGAGUGUGAGAGUGGAAAGUUCACACUGUGACGGUAUCUUACCAGAAAGGGACGGCUAACUACGUG